UCUUGUAGAUCUGAGAGUAGAGCUCUUGCCUAGCAAGCAAGAUGCUUGGGUUCAAUCCCAAUACUAGGG
rnacentral:tRNA from 1 species